AUUGAACGCUGGCGGCAGGCCUAACACAUGCAAGUCGAACGAGUGGCGGACGGGUGAGUAAUGUCUGGGAAACUGCCUGCUGGAGGGGGAUAACUACUGGAAACGGUAGCUAAUACCGCAUACCAUCGGAUGUGCCCAGAUGGGAUUAGCUAGUAGGUGGGGUAAAGGCUCACCUAGGCGACGAUCCCUAGCUGGUCUGAGAGGAUGACCACACACACUGGAACUGAGCCACGGUCCAGACUCGUACGGCAGGCAGAAGUGGGGAAUUUGGCACAAGGGGCGCAAGCCUGAUGCAGCCAUGCCGCGUAUAUGAAGAAGGCCUUCGGGUUGUAAAGUACUUUCAGCGGGGAGGCGUUACCCGCAGAAGAAGCACCGGCUAACUCCGUGCCAGCAGCCGCGGUAAUAC
rnacentral:rRNA from 1 species